rnacentral:rRNA from 1 species
ACAUGCAAGUCGAACGAUGAUGCCCAGCUUGCUGGGCGGAUUAGUGGCGAACGGGUGAGUAACACGUGAGUAACCUGCCCUUGACUUCGGGAUAACUCCGGGAAACCGGGGCUAAUACCGGAUAUGAGCCGCCUUCGCAUGGGGGUGGUUGGAAAGUUUUUCGGUCAGGGAUGGGCUCGCGGCCUAUCAGCUUGUUGGUGGGGUGAUGGCCUACCAAGGCGACGACGGGUAGCCGGCCUGAGAGGGCGACCGGCCACACUGGGACUGAGACACGGCCCAGACUCCUACGGGAGGCAGCAGUGGGGAAUAUUGCACAAUGGGCGAAAGCCUGAUGCAGCGACGCCGCGUGAGGGAUGAAGGCCUUCGGGUUGUAAACCUCUUUCAGCAGGGAAGAAGCGCAAGUGACGGUACCUGCAGAAGAAGCGCCGGCUAACUACGUGCCAGCAGCCGCGGUAAUACGUAGGGCGCAAGCGUUGUCCGGAAUUAUUGGGCGUAAAGAGCUCGUAGGCGGUUUGUCGCGUCUGGUGUGAAAACUCGAGGCUCAACCUCGAGCUUGCAUCGGGUACGGGCAGACUAGAGUGCGGUAGGGGAGACUGGAAUUCCUGGUGUAGCGGUGGAAUGCGCAGAUAUCAGGAGGAACACCGAUGGCGAAGGCAGGUCUCUGGGCCGCAACUGACGCUGAGGAGCGAAAGCAUGGGGAGCGAACAGGAUUAGAUACCCUGGUAGUCCAUGCCGUAAACGUUGGGCACUAGGUG